AGUGCUUCCUGCAGAACUCUCCGGUCAGGUUAUACUCUGGGACUGAAACUGGGGGUUAGCUCCCACCUUGACAAAAGCUGCCACAGCUGAGUUGGCACUGCGGGUCUCCUCUCCCAGGUCUUUGUUCUUCCAGAAGAUGUGUUCAGACACCGUCUCCACCAGAGUCUCCACGCGACUCAGGCAGUUGAGGAAGUUGGAGGUAGGAGGUUGCAAGAGGUCCAGCUCUCUCUUCUGGCACUGCUGGAAGAAUCGGUUCAGGUGGGGGUCCUGGCACGGAGAGCAGAAUCCAUGAAAAACAGCAGAGAGCAUAUGCGAUAAGACUUA